UCCACCACUUUAUGUAUCCAUAUCAAGCUUCUUACAAAGUGAUUCAUCCUAGUUCGAUUGGAACGACGAAGAAGUUGUCUUAUUCCCAAACUGGGAAACUGGAAUCAACUGAUUUGAAAGUGGGAUAACUUCUUCUUCCCAACUCCUAUGAGAUUUAUUCAACUUCCUGGUGAUUCUCCACCACUCUAUGUAUCCAAAUCAAGCUUCUUACAAAGUGAUUCAUCCUGGUUCGAUUAGAACAACGAAGAAGUUGUCUUAUUCCCAAACUGGGAAACUGGAAUCAACUGAUUUGAAAGUGGGAUAACUUCUUCUUCCCAGCUCCUAUGAGAUUUUUUUUCAACUUUCUGGUCAUUCUCCACCACUUUAUGUAUCCAUAUCAAGCUUCUUACAAAGUGAUUCAUCCUGGUUCGAUUGGAACGACGAAGAAGUUGUCUUUUUCCCAAACUGGGAAACCGGAAUCAACUGAUUUGAAAGUGGGAUAACUCCUUUUUCCCAACUCCUAUGAGAUCUUUUUUCAACUUCUUGGUCAUUAUACACCACUUUAGGUAUCAAUAUCAAGUUUCUUACAAAGUGAUUCAUCCUAGUUCGAUUGGAACGACGAAGAAGUUGUCUUAUCCCCAAACUGGGUAACUGGAAUCAACUGAUUUGAAAGUGGGAUAAUUCCUUCUUCCCAACUCCUAUGAGAUUUAUUCAACUUCCUGGUCAUUCUCCACCACUUUAUGUA